AUGGGCGAGGAAGUCAUGUUGGCUUUUAAGAAGUACAAGGAAGGAAAGAGCCAAUUCAAAGACGUGGUGCAUUAUGGCCUAGAUGAGCUUCAACAUCAGUGCUUCAGCAUGGAGAGCUGUGAUCACACCUUCCAUCACUUCAACUUCACCGUUAAGAUGGAGAAAUCAGGUGGCGAUUCGUCAUCGACGCCCUUCUUUGCUGAGGUGAAAGAGAUCCAUGGAAGAAAAUAUUAUUCCUGCUACGAACUAAGUUCGCAUGAUGAUGGUCACUGCCAUGCGUGCAAAAAUCAAGGAAUGCAUGCACUGAAGCACCCUAUUUGUCUAAUGGGGUAUGACAGUGGUCAUGCUGAUAUGGAGUCCCCGUUCCUUUAUCUUAGAGAUGAUGAAUAA
rnacentral:rRNA from 1 species